UAAACUUAAAUGUUUCUUGAACUUUUUCUUCUAUAUAGACAGAAUAUUAACAGUGUGCAAUAGGGAUGCACUCUUUUCUGGAUGACAGGAAGUGAGUAAACUUGAACUCUGCUUUACCAAACCUGCUGCUGUGAGAGAGAAGCAAAGGUAUUUAGGAUAAUCUGGAUGAAUUAUUUUUGAUGACAUUUUAAGGCACAUUUAACUGACUAUAUUUGCUAAAAGGAACCCAGCACAGUGUUACUCUUGCUGGCUGGUUGCUGUCUAGCACUAUUCCAGUGCUUUUGGAGUAGGAAAAUAGUAUCUUUGAUGUUCUGCAGAUCUGGAUUUUAGCCUGGAGUGACAUGCAUGUGUAAUUUUAUCCAUUAACACUGUGGAUAUCAAUGCAUGGCUUAUGGAUUGGAUAUUUUCUAACAAUGCCACUUUGAGUAGAAUGGCUAAAACUUGAUUUGGUAUCAGUAGGGCCAUUGGUGCUUGCAGCUGGUUUCCUUGAAGUGCUUCUUGAUUGACUUGAAAGGAGUGCAAAUGUACAAGAAUGAAACAAAUUAAAGCACACUUCUAAAUUUCUGGAAAUAUGGUAGUUAACGACUUCCUUGUAGCCUAGGCUGACACUGAUUUAA